UUAGGAGAAAAACUUUCUCUCAAUAUUUUUAUUCUCUCUCUUUUAUUAUAUUGAAUCUUUUAAAUCUAGGUCACUUCACCAAAUUAUAUAAUAAUAUUAUUCUUAUCUAGUAUUCUUUUCUUGGUUGUCUUAUGUAUUUAUUUUUGUUAUGAAUUAACUCCAGGCUAAUAAAGAUAUUAACACAUAAAUAGCUAUUGGGUUGAGAAGAGUUAUUGGCCCGAGAACAAAUAAUAAGGUCAGGUUAAUUUGGGCCCAAGGGACUAAUUACGAGUGAUUCUGAGUUAGUCAGAGGGGCUAGUUCUAUUGAUAUUAUGCCCGAGGGGCGGUUUAUGAUACAUGUUUUUCCCAAGGGGCUGUUUACGUUUCUAUCAUUUUUACUCACUCUGUUAUCACUCGUUUAAAACUAUUGAAAGUUGUUUUAAAAGGUUUUACCGAAAUUGAGCAUGAUUUACGAACCAAAUAAUUUUUGUGCUGUUUUGAAAAUAUAUUGCAUUUGCUAUAGCAUAUUGAUGUGGCUUAUUUGUUUUCUUACUGUUCAGUUUUUAUUUAUUUUUAUUACUUACUGAGUUGGCAUACUCACAUUGUUCCAUGCACCUUGUGUGCAGAUUGAGGUAGUUCUGAACCGGGUAGCGGGUGUUGAUUGCUCAGUGGUAAAGUCAUUGGAGUUAGCAAGGUAGCUGUCCAACGUUCGCAACAGUGAUUUUCUCCUUCUUGUCUUCCUUUGAUUGUAUUUGGUAUAUUUUUAGACUCGUUGUUGUAUUCAGGCCUUAGUAGAUGUUCGUGGUUUGUGACACCUCGACGUCGGGCUUGUGUACUUAUUCUGCACUGUUCAUUUAGACUUACAUUAUGAAAUAACUAAUUAAUUAAAGGCUUAAAAAUAAUUAUUAUUGAUUAAAUGGUUAAUUCGGGACUUGUGUCAGCUAGUCUAGUUUCACAAUAUGCACCAUCACGACCGGGUCGAUUUUAGGGUUGUGACAACAACGGUGUUGGACGCCAUCACGGCGUUCCUUUAAUUUGAGUGAAAGCUCAGUGAAUGAAAGGUAGGGGUGUACAAAUGAAGCCGACAAAUUGUACUAACCCGAUCGAGAAAAAAAUUUGACUAUGGUUUGGUAUUGGGAAAAAAUCCGACCAUAUUUGAAUUGAUUUUAACUAAAAAUAGUCAAACAGAAACCAAUCCAACACAAUGUUAUAUGUAUAAAAGUUGUAAAUACAUAAAAAUAUUUGUC
rnacentral:lncRNA from 1 species